ensembl:snRNA U6 U6 spliceosomal RNA
GUGCUUGCUUCGUCAGCACAUAUACUAAAAUUGGAACGAUACGGAGAAGAUUAGCAUGGCUCCUGCGCAAGGAUGACACACAAAUUCGUGAAGCGUUCCAUAUUUUU